rnacentral:rRNA from 1 species
CAGUCGCCGCGGUAAAACGUAGGUCCCGAGCGUUGUCCGGAUUUAUUGGGCGUAAAGCGAGCGCAGGCGGUUUGAUAAGUCUGAAGUUAAAGGCUGUGGCUCAACCAUAGUUCGCUUUGGAAACUGUCAAACUUGAGUGCAGAAGGGGAGAGUGGAAUUCCAUGUGUAGCGGUGAAAUGCGUAGAUAUAUGGAGGAACACCGGUGGCGAAAGCGGCUCUCUGGUCUGUAACUGACGCUGAGGCUCGAAAGCGUGGGGAGCGAACAGGAUUAGAUACCCCCGUAGUCCCUGUCUCUUAUACA